AUGGCUCAGGACGAACGCUGGCGGCGUGCCUAAUACAUGCAAGUCGAACGCUUCUUUUUCCACCGGAGCUUGCUCCACCGGAAAAAGARGAGUGGCGAACGGGUGAGUAACACGUGGGUAACCUGCCCAUCAGAAGGGGAUAACACUUGGAAACAGGUGCUAAUACCGUAUAACAAUCRAAACCGCAUGGUUUUGAUUUGAAAGGCGCUUUCGGGUGUCGCUGAUGGAUGGACCCGCGGUGCAUUAGCUAGUUGGUGAGGUAACGGCUCACCAAGGCCACGAUGCAUAGCCGACCUGAGAGGGUGAUCGGCCACAUUGGGACUGAGACACGGCCCAAACUCCUACGGGAGGCAGCAGUAGGGAAUCUUCGGGCAAUGGACGAAAGUCUGACCGAGCAACGCCGCGUGAGUGAAGAAGGUUUUCGGAUCGUAAAACUCUGUUGUUAGAGAAGAACAAGGAUGAGAGUAACUGUUCAUCCCUUGACGGUAUCUAACCAGAAAGCCACGGCUAACUACGUGCCAGCAGCCGCGGUAAUACGUAGGUGGCAAGCGUUGUCCGGAUUUAUUGGGCGUAAAGCGAGCGCAGGCGGUUUCUUAAGUCUGAUGUGAAAGCCCCCGGCUCAACCGGGGAGGGUCAUUGGAAACUGGGAGACUUGAGUGCAGAAGAGGAGAGUGGAAUUCCAUGUGUAGCGGUGAAAUGCGUAGAUAUAUGGAGGAACACCAGUGGCGAAGGCGGCUCUCUGGUCUGUAACUGACGCUGAGGCUCGAAAGCGUGGGGAGCAAACAGGAUUAGAUACCCUGGUAGUCCACGCCGUAAACGAUGAGUGCUAAGUGUUGGAGGGUUUCCGCCCUUCAGUGCUGCAGCUAACGCAUUAAGCACUCCGCCUGGGGAGUACGACCGCAAGGUUGAAACUCAAAGGAAUUGACGGGGGCCCGCACAAGCGGUGGAGCAUGUGGUUUAAUUCGAAGCAACGCGAAGAACCUUACCAGGUCUUGACAUCCUUUGACCACUCUAGAGAUAGAGCUUCCCCUUCGGGGGCAAAGUGACAGGUGGUGCAUGGUUGUCGUCAGCUCGUGUCGUGAGAUGUUGGGUUAAGUCCCGCAACGAGCGCAACCCUUAUUGUUAGUUGCCAUCAUUCAGUUGGGCACUCUAGCAAGACUGCCGGUGACAAACCGGAGGAAGGUGGGGAUGACGUCAAAUCAUCAUGCCCCUUAUGACCUGGGCUACACACGUGCUACAAUGGGAAGUACAACGAGUYGCGAAGUCGCGAGGCUAAGCUAAUCUCUUAAAGCUUCUCUCAGUUCGGAUUGCAGGCUGCAACUCGCCUGCAUGAAGCCGGAAUCGCUAGUAAUCGCGGAUCAGCACGCCGCGGUGAAUACGUUCCCGGGCCUUGUACACACCGCCCGUCACACCACGAGAGUUUGUAACACCCGAAGUCGGUGAGGUAACCUUUUGGAGCCAGCCGCCUAAGG
rnacentral:rRNA from 1 species